GAUGAAGAACGCAGCGAAAUGCGAUAAGUAAUGUGAAUUGCAGAAUUCAGUGAAUCAUCGAAUCUUUGAACGCACAUUGCGCCCGCCAGUAUUCUGGCGGGCAUGCCUGUUCGAGCGUCAUUUCAACCAUCAAGCCCCCGGCUUGUGUUGGGGACCUGCGGCUGCCGCAGGCCCUGAAAAGCAGUGGCGGGCUCGCUGUCACACCGAGCGUAGUAGAUUUUCAUCUCGCUCAGGGCGUGCUGCGGGUUCCGGCCGUAAAAAGCCUUAUUUACCCAAGGUUGACCUCGGAUCAGGUAGGAAGACCCGCUGAACUUAAGCAUAUCAAUAAGCGGAGGA
rnacentral:misc_RNA from 1 species